CCCUUGAUUUCUUCUUGUUCUACAUCAAGCAUACUUAAGGAAUGAGCACCAACCAGGCAGAUGAGCAAUAUGUGGACAGGAACAAGCUUGAUCUUGCAGUACCAAUAAGACCCUUCCCCAGUAUGCUGUUAGGACUGCGCAAAGACCAAAUAAAAAUACAUCAGAGAAUUAUAGUAGGACCUUCCAUGAGUGGUGAGAUAUGGAACAAUAAUUCCUUGAAAAAAAAAUUCCCAAUAUUCGUUUCAUUUCAAUAGAAGAUCCAAUCAUGACUUAGGCAGGUGGUAUAAAACAGAGAAAACAAUAGGACAAAGAUGACUCAUUCCAAUCAAAUUCCUGGUAUGCUGACCAGAGCGAAGCAACCAGAGCACGAAAAGAGCAUAAAAUAAAGGGCUGAAAAAUGUGCAUGGUAAGAAAUGAUUUUGCCAACCCAGCCAGAUACAGCCUCUUUAUACAUGCUAAAACUGACAGUGUUAAUAAAAGCAUGCUGAAAAUUUUAUAAACUUCAGGUUCAGUUAUCUAUUCUGAAGCAUACUUGAGCACUUGAUUACCUUCUUGCAAACAAGUCAACACCAGCAUAACAUAUAGUCAAAUUAGAACAUCCUAAGUUCCUUACCACAACAUUUUCUUAUUUCACUAAAUUGAAAUCUG
rnacentral:misc_RNA from 1 species